UACGGAGGGUGCAAGCGUUAUCCGGAUUCACUGGGUUUAAAGGGUGCGUAGGCGGGCAGGUAAGUCCGUGGUGAAAUCUCUGAGCUUAACUCAGAAACUGCCAUGGAUACUAUUUGUCUUGAAUAUUGUGGAGGUGAGCGGAAUAUGUCAUGUAGCGGUGAAAUGCUUAGAUAUGACAUAGAACACCUAUUGCGAAGGCAGCUCACUACGCAAUGAUUGACGCUGAGGCACGAAAGCGUGGGGAUCAAACAGG
rnacentral:rRNA from 1 species